ACAGAGUUACUGGGACUAUGUGGUGACAGGUUUACUCGUGAUGUGGCUUGUCUGUGAUAUGAUGCAUUUCAUGAGAUCAUAGUUUACUGAGAUGUUUUACUGUUCUACUCACUGGGCUAUAGAGCUCAUCCCACUCCCUUAACCCCAGUUUUGCAGGUUCAGUGUACAGUGUACAGGGACAGUCCAGCAGAGUACAGGAAAAGUAAAGAGAUCUGUAAGAGCUUAGAGUGGACAUGUAAUUAAUAGUUGUUGCUUGACCUAGUGACCUAGUGAUGUAUGUUUUGUACAUGAUCUGUAUAUGUAUAUAUGUUUUCCUGUAUGUGAAAACCAGGCUUAACAGGUAUGAGAUAGCCCAUCUAGAGCAAGCUCUAGUCAGG
rnacentral:lncRNA from 1 species